UUGUAUGAUUUUUAUUUUUUGUGAAGACGAAGCUCGUUAUGUUUGACAAUCUGUGUGUGUAGAUAUAUGAUCUGUCUUCAUUUUUUUUUUUAAUUUUUGGAAUUAGAGGGUAUAGAGUUCGAAUUGUGUGUUUGUUUCUCAUUUUGCUCGAAUAUUCUCAUCAAUUUGAUACUCUGAGAUGUUCAAAUCAGAGCUUUUCUGACUUUUUUCCAUGAUUAUCUGGGAGAGAACUUAGGUUAGGGUUUUUUAGGUUUUGGGUGUAAAGAGAAAGAGAUGGAGGAAGAUUAAAGAGGAGGGUAAUAAAGGAAUUGUAUAAAUUAAAAAAAUAAUAAUAAUAAAUAAAUAAAUAAAAUUUGAAGGUGUAAAGAGUUAGAUGGGUGGUGUAAGUAGAAUCAGUCAUUAGGGUUUCCUCAGUCUUUAUAUAUAUAUAGAUAUCGCAUUGGGUGUACAUACUUUCAUUGGGCGAACUUUCACCAGAGGCAGCUCUCUCUCUCUCUCUCUUUCUUUCCUCCUACGCAGAUCCCAGAAACAAACGCUGAAUGAGCAUAUUUUGUUUGGGGAUGGUUUCAACAUCAUAGAUAGAUAGAUAUAAAGAAAAGAAAUGGCCAAUGAUGCAUAGAUGUAUUGUCCGUACCAUCUGAGAGUCUUUUUUUCAAAGACUCCAUUGAUGAGAAGGAAGGAAGUGAGAAAGGCAGUGACGAGAAAACAACGUACCUAUGAAAUUAUGAAAGCUGUGUGCUUAUUGAUGCCACAAAAUAAUCUCAGCUCUCUGAGCCUCCUUCAAUUCCAAUUUAUUAUGAUAUGAUAUGAUAUGAUAUGAUAUGUAUUUGCGUUGCGUGAUUUGCUUUUUUUUACUUUGUAAAGUUUAAUUUUAUAUUUUAGAAAGAAAACCAAAGGAGGCAACAAAUUAGAGUCUCUGAUGCACUUAUCGUCAGUAGUGUUUUCAGCGCUGUACGUUGCCGAUAACGAUUGUUGUUAUUGGGGGGCGGAGAUUCUGGCAUCGGUCGCCUUUCUCUUUCUUAACGGCCCUAUGCAUUCCUAUGUCCCCUAUAUUAUGUAUAUAUAUAUAUAUAUAUUGUUUUUGUUAAUU